UGUAGGCAUGUGUCUUAGGCAAAUCCGGGACACUCUAUGCUGAGAACUGAGACGAACCUGUACUUGUACGGGGAAGUGAUAGAUGCCAUGCUCCCAAGAAAAGCUCCUAAGCUUCAGUCAGUAAGGGAUCGUACCCGAAACCGACACAGGUGGUCAGGUCGAGAAGACCAAGGCGCUUGAGAGAACUCUGGUGAAGGAACUAGGCAAAAUAGUACCGUAACUUCGGGAGAAGGUACGCUGUUGAGGGUUAAGGAUUUACUCCGUAAGCCUUCGGCAGCCUCAGAAACUAGGCCGCUGCAACUGUUUAUUAAAAACAUAGCACUCUGCAAACACGAAAGUGGACGUAUAGGGUGUGAUGCCUGCCCGGUGCUGGAAGGUUAAUUGAUGGGGUUAGCUAACGCGAAGCUCUUGAUCGAAGCCCCAGUAAACGGCGGCCGUAACAAUAACGGUCCUAAGGUAGCGAAAUUCCUUGUCGGGUAAGUUCCGACCUGCACGAAUGGCAUAAUGAUGGCGGCGCUGUCUCCACCAGAGACUCAGUGAAAUCGAAAUCGCGGUGAAGAUGCCGUGUACCCGCGGCUAGACGGAAAGACCCCGUGAACCUUUACUGCAGCUUUGCACUGAACUUUGAUCUUACCUGUGUAGGAUAGGUGGGAGGCUUUGAAGCUCGGACGCUAGUUCGAGUGGAGCCAUCCUUGAAAUACCACCCUGGUAAUAUUGAGGUUCUAACCCAGGUCCGUUAUCCGGAUCGGGGACAGUGUAUGGUGGGUAGUUUGACUGGGGCGGUCUCCUCCUAAAGAGUAACGGAGGAGUACGAAGGUGCGCUCAGCGUGGUCGGAAAUCACGCGUAGAGUAUAAAGGCAAAAGCGCGCUUAACUGCGAGACCGACAAGUCGAGCAGGUACGAAAGUAGGUCUUAGUGAUCCGGUGGUUCUGUAUGGAAGGGCCAUCGCUCAACGGAUAAAAGGUACUCUGGGGAUAACAGGCUGAUACCGCCCAAGAGUUCAUAUCGACGGCGGUGUUUGGCACCUCGAUGUCGGCUCAUCUCAUCCUGGGGCUGAAGCAGGUCCCAAGGGUAUGGCUGUUCGCCAUUUAAAGAGGUACGCGAGCUGGGUUUAGAACGUCGUGAGACAGUUCGGUCCCUAUCUACCGUGGGCGUUGGAGACUUGAGAGGAUCUGCUUCUAGUACGAGAGGACCGAAGUGGACGAACCUCUGGUGUUCCGGUUGUCACGCCAGUGGCACUGCCGGGUAGCUAUGUUCGGAAGGGAUAACCGCUGAAAGCAUCUAAGCGGGAAGCCUACCUCAAGAUAAGGUCUCCCUGAGGGUUUAACCCUCCUAAAGAGCCGUUAGAGACCAUGACGUUGAUAGGUUCGGUGUGGAAGUGCAGCGAUGCAUGAAGCUAACGAAUACUAAUUGCUCGUGAGGCUUGACC
rnacentral:rRNA from 1 species